rnacentral:rRNA from 1 species
CAGUCGAACGGGAAAUAUUUCAUUGAGACUUCGGUGGAUUUGAUCUAUUUCUAGCGUCGGACGGGUGAGUAACGCGUGGGUAACCUGCCUUAUACAGGGGGAUAACAGUCAGAAAUGGCUGCUAAUACCGCAUAAGCGCACAGAGCUGCAUGGCUCGGUGUGAAAAACUCCGGUGGUAUAAGAUGGACCCGCGUUGGAUUAGCUAGUUGGUGGGGUAACGGCCCACCAAGGCGACGAUCCAUAGCCGGCCUGAGAGGGUGAACGGCCACAUUGGGACUGAGACACGGCCCAGACUCCUACGGGAGGCAGCAGUGGGGAAUAUUGCACAAUGGGGGAAACCCUGAUGCAGCGACGCCGCGUGAAGGAAGAAGUAUCUCGGUAUGUAAACUUCUAUCAGCAGGGAAGAUAGUGACGGUACCUGACUAAGAAGCCCCGGCUAACUACGUGCCAGCAGCCGCGGUAAUACGUAGGGGGCAAGCGUUAUCCGGAUUUACUGGGUGUAAGGGGAGCGUAGACGGUGUGGCAAGUCUGAUGUGAAAGGCAUGGGCUCAACCUGUGGACUGCAUUGGAAACUGUCAUACUUGAGUGCCGGAGGGGUAAGCGGAAUUCCUAGUGUAGCGGUGAAAUGCGUAGAUAUUAGGAGGAACACCAGUGGCGAAGGCGGCUUACUGGA